AUUGAACGCUGGCGGCAGGCCUAACACAUGCAAGUCGAACGGAGCGGCGGACGGGGGCGGAAUGCCUAGGAAUCGGCCUCGUAGUGGGGGAUAACGUCCGGAAACGGGCACUAUUGCCGCUUACUAUCGGCUGAGCCUGGGUCGGAUUAGCUAGUUGGUGGGGUAAAGGCCUACCAAGGCGACGAUCCGUAACUGGUCUGAGAGGAUGAUCAGUCACACUGGAACUGAGACACGGUCCAGACUCCUACGGGAGGCAGCAGUGGGGAAUAUUGGACAAUGGGCGAAAGCCUGAUCCAGCCAUGCCGCGUGUGUGAAGAAGGUCUUCGGAUUGUAAAGCACUUUAAGUUGGGAGGCGUUACCAGCAGAAGAAGCACCGGCUAACUCCGUGCCAGCAGCCGCGGUAAUAC
rnacentral:rRNA from 1 species